rnacentral:rRNA from 1 species
UACGUAGGGGGCAAGCGUUGUCCGGAUUUAUUGGGCGUAAAGAGCGUGUAGGCGGUUAGGUAGGUCCGUUGUGAAAACUCGAGGCUCAACCUCGAGACGCCGAUGGAAACCAUCUGACUAGAGUCCGGAAGAGGAGAGUGGAAUUCCUGGUGUAGCGGUGAAAUGCGUAGAGAUGUGGAGGAAUACCGAUGGCGAAGGCAGCCUCCUGGGCCAACACUGACGCUCAUGCACGAAAGCGUGGGGAGCAAACAGG